rnacentral:lncRNA from 1 species
GUGCCAAAUCCGGCCACGCCUACUUUUUUUGAUAAAAAAAACAAUAUAUUAAUAUCUUUUCUAACAAAAAAUAUUAAUAUCAAGAUGAUACAACUACAAGUAACACCCAACGACCACUGGAACAACACAAUGUCAGGAGCUAGUCGAUAGACGUCGAUCGAGGAUGCUCACAUGACCUUAGAUUUUCGUUUCUCUAUUAUGUGGUAUGCGCACCGAUUGACAUGGCGUAAUCGACUUCAAACAGGGAAUGGCAAAUUCUCUGCACAUUACACCAAAUAGGAAGCAGAAAAUAUCAGUCCUUCACAAUGUCAGCGGUACCAUCAAGCCUCACAGGUAAAUUAAAUUCUCAGCAUAUUACUACGAGUUUGCAAAUCAUCUUCAUUGGAUGUAUUAUUUACCUUUACCUCAUCCCUGCUCUUGCUAGGAUGACCUUGCUUUUGGGUCCUCCUGGUGCCGGAAAAACCACGCUACUCCUGGCGUUGGCGGGGACGCUCCCUUCAAGCCUUGAGGUAAUUAAUCCGUUUUUUGCUCUUCUUCUUCUCAUUACCAAUAAGAAUAUGUUGAUCGUUUCACUCUUAGUAUAUCAUGAUUACUGCACCUGGCAAGUAUAUACUGAUAUUAAGAAACCCAACAGAUGUCAGGCAAAAUAACAUACAAUGGGCAUACGAUGGACGAGUUUGUGCCCAGGAGGUCGGCGGCUUAUGUGAGCCAAAACGAUCUGCAUAUCGGUGAACUGACGGUUCGUGAGACGGUCAAUUUCUCUGCAAAAUGUCAAGGAAGUGGUCACCGAUUCGGUAAGAACUAGAAAAACAAGUAGUACUUGAAAACCCAUAGCAGUAUGCGCGAGUAACUUACAUUUUCUGCAAAAUGACUAGAUCUGCUGAUGGAGCUAUCGAGGAGAGAAAAGGAAGCAAAU